rnacentral:rRNA from 1 species
CCCUUAGAUGUUCUGGGCCGCACGCGCGCUACACUGAUGAAUUCAACGAGUAUACUUGUCUUCUUCGAAGACAAUUCCUUGGUUGAGAUGCCUGGGCAAUCUUUUAAACGUUCAUCGUGAUGGGGCUAGAUUAUUGCAAUUAUUAAUCUUAAACGAGGAAUUCCUAGUAAACGCAAGUCAUCAGCUUGCAUUGAUUACGUCCCUGCCCUUUGUACACACCGCCCGUCGCACCUACCGAUUGAAUGGUCCGGUGAAAACCUCGGAUUUUUGUUUUAUUCCGUUAGGAAAAUUACGAGAAGAAGUCGUUUAAACCUUACCAUUUAGAGGAAGGUGAAGUCGUAACA